AUGUAUUUGGCGAGUGCCACGAGGCCUGACAUCUCUUUUGCUGUGAGCAAGCUGAGUCGGUUUGUGUCAAAACCGGGAGAUGAUCAUUGGCAUGCGCUUGAGAGAGUUAUGCGCUAUUUGAAAGGCACCGCGAGCUAUGGGAUUCACUACACCGGGUAUCCUAGGGUACUGGAGGGUUAUAGUGACUCAAACUGGAUAUCUGAUGCUGAUGAGAUUAAGGCCACAAGUGGUUAUGUUUUUACACUUGGUGGUGGCGCUAUUUCCUGGAAGCCUUGCAAGCAGACCAUCUUAACGAGGUCAACUAUGGAAGCAGAACUCACAGCAUUAGACACUGCCACUUUUGAAGCAGAGUGGCUUCGUGAACUCUUGAUGGACUUACGUAUGGUUGAAAAACCGAUACCCCCUAUCCUGAUGAACUGUGAUAAUCAAACUGUGAUCGUCAAGAUAAACAGUUCUAAGGACAAUAUGAAGUCCUCAAGGCAUGUGAAGAGGAGACUAAAAUCUGUCAGAAAAUUGAGGAACUCCGGAGUUAUUACGUUGGAUUAUAUCCAAACGUCGAAAAACUUGGCAGAUCCCUUCACAAAGGGUCUAUCACGUAAUGUGAUAGAUAAUGCAUCGAUGGAGAUGGGUUUGAGACCCACCGCAUGA
rnacentral:rRNA from 1 species